UGAGGAACAUGACCUUCGGCGGGGGAUAGCCGGCCCAACGGCCGGGUAAUACCGCGUACGACCUCUUGGGGACAUCCCCGGGUGGUGAAAGCAGCAAUGCGCCGAAAGAGUGCCUCGCGGCCUAUCAGCUAGUUGGUGGGGUAAUGGCUCACCAAGGCGACGGCGGGUAGCUGGUCUGAGAGGAUGGCCAGCCACAUUGGGACUGAGACACGGCCCAGACUCCUACGGGAGCAGCAGG
rnacentral:rRNA from 1 species